rnacentral:lncRNA from 1 species
AUGCACAAAUAUGCCAACAAAAGCCAGAGGGAGCUGUAGUGGAGGAAAAAACAAAUAUAAAAGAAGAACAACAUACUAAACCAUGCUAUAAAGGUCUGGAAUGGAGAUUAACCUUCCAUUUAUCUAAAGGCUUUAAAUGAACAAGAAAAAUGUGCUACAUACCAUAUAGAAUUUGGAAGUUACAAGCAAUGAUCCAUAUAUGAAACUUGGUAGCUGAUCCAGGGAGGAUGAGAAAAGAUUGCUCCAAGAGUUUUUUCCAUCAACAAAUCACAUCCGAGAACAAGAGAGGUUAGUUGUAUUAAAUCAAAUCCUCAUUAUUGUUUCUGGGAUUUCUUGCCGAGGCUUUUAAUCCAGCUGAGGGUCAAAAUCUUCUUCCCAAGUUUGCUCUUGUUAGACCCAUCUUUCCCCUUCUUCUUGUCAUUGUCUGAUGCAGGUGGUAGAGGCUCGGGGUCCCAUUGGUCAGCCCAAGAAAGGCCCUCAGAUUUAUACACAUCCAUUUUUCUUCGGUCUCCUCAAACCUCCACUCUGCACGUUGCCCAGACAGGGAUUUGCAAAGGGAGAGAUUAACCGAAAGGAUAAGUACCAAUUAUUUGCUCUCGUCUACAACCGGGAAAUGACUCUGAUCCCGGAUGAAUAUCUUCCAGCAAGCCUCACAAAAUGCGAAGCUUGAAAAUAUAUGCAAACAAGUAAAACCAUUGCUUGAUUCUCUCUCCUCUCUCGUCCAUCCUGAAAUUAAUCUGCACCUCUAGUUGUAUAAUAGACUAUGAAAGGAAGAGUUGCUGCGCUUAAAAAUGAUGGACGGUCUAAAAGAGGGUACCAUUUGAAAUUCUCUCUCUUCUUCUUUGUCCAGAGUAAAUACAUUUGCAAGGUACAAUAUCCUCUCUUCAUUAAUUCCGCUUGAGAUACUCAACAGAAGUUACUUUCAGGGGUACAAGGUAGUCAUUUGGCCAAACCACCUUCCAAGGCAGUCAAAACGUAAUUAAGCCAACAGACAUAAAAUCUCGUUUUAGGGACGCAAACAGCGUCCCAGACAGGGGCAGGCCAGACCAACAAAGCGCAAUUUCGAGAAUUAACUUUCUUGUUUUGGUACGAUGUUUGAAAUCCAAAUCAGGGUCUAAGUUCCUAAAUUCUGCUAAUUCUACCCUAAAUUUACACCGCGAUACACUGCACCAGGACACAGAUCAUCCAGGCUAUCGAUGUUUCGGUAACCAUCGUACUCUCUCAGACACGUCCAUCCUCGACGAGACAAAAAAUCACGAAAGUCAUCCUCACUGUAAAACGUUUUAUCCUCAGUGUGCACUGGCAAGUCAUCUGCUUCCUCGUACAGACAGAAUUUAAUUGUCAGACCUGCGAAUCAGAAGAAUUACUUAAAAGAGAUCUCACCAGAAGAAUUUAAAUGUCAGACCUGAGAGCUGGGCCAUGGUAUUUAGUUCCAAACACAAUCUACACCAGGCCUCAGUCCAGAAUUACUAUAAAAUGCUAGUAAUAUUUGUCUAUUUUAUAAUUAAGAAUAAAGAAAUGUGCAUCACCAUGACCAUAGCAAGAACACUGGUCGGAACUAAUUUAUCACCGUGAAUUGCUUUAGAAGUGUAAUGCAGGACCGUUAACCAUCUUCUGGCUGUUAAAAAGCAUACAAGUGUAGCAUUACCUUCAUCAACAUGGAGGGUAUAGUUCCCCAAGGGCAUAUCCCUAUCAAGAGUUCGGACAAUGUUACUAUCAUCCUCCAGCCAAAAUGCACGCUUCGUCCUUAACCUGAAAGUGGCCUUGAUAGCUUCCUUGAUGCCAUCAGGAGUGCCGUCUAUACCAAUUCUUUUUGUGUAAUCCCCCCACUUGACAGAUAUGACCCUCCCCUCAUAUGAUGCAUUCUGAUGACCUGCCCAAGGACAAAGUGAAACAAAACAAGAAAGAAAAAAUUAUUACAGAUCUUAAGACUUGUCCAAGUCCAUGACAUUGUGCUCCGCAGCUACUGAAAUCUGACUGUCUAUGCUACAAAGAAAAGAAAUACCAAAUCGAAUUUGCACAAGGUUCACUACCAAGUUUAUUGAGUUUUCAUCUGAGAUCACGGAUAACCAGCGAGAGUGAACUUCCAAAGGAAGCAGACUGCAAAUUUUACAUUAAACAUUUAUUUUGACUACUCAUUUCUUCUUUGGAAACAAUAGCUGCCCUAUCCUAUUUAGCUUCCGUAUCUACUCUCUCGAGCUAGUACCAUUAAUAGAACAUUACGUAAGGUACAUAGCCCUGCCUCAACUUGAAAGGGUAAGGCUGCCUAUUCCUAAACCUUCCUAAACCAAGAAUGUUACUUCCAAACUAAUCAUUUGUGUGAGACUUGAGAUUGACUUCACCUCAAGGCUGUAGAGCUACCAUUUCAAAUACCAAAUUAUUAUCUUAGUCAUCCAAGGUUAUUGCAUAGUAUAUAUCACGGUGUUUUCAAGAUCUCAAUAUUUUCUUUUAAUUUUAAUUGGGUGAUUACUCUCGAUCAAGGAAUUAGCACCACUGAGUAUGAUAGGGGCACGAUUUACACACACACAUAUCCAUCUUGUUACCGGAAGAUAACUAUGGUUUUGUCCAGCCCCAAAAAAUAGAUUAGAGUUAUGUUUAAGAAGGAAUCAAUUGCAUCCCCGACCAAAAGCAACAUUUAUAAGAAGCAUAAAAACUGUAUGCUGCUUGUUGAAAUUUGGAUGCAUUAUUCUAACCAUUUCCAGGAUUCUCUCUCCAGUUCCAGGGGGAAACUUCACUAGCUGCAACUGCUUCUGUUGCAGUGAUGGCCAGAGGAUGCCCAUCAUGAUCCAACCGCCUUUCCAAGUUAAGGGGCUGCCUACC